GCGGGUGUAGUUCAAUGGUAGAACUUCAGCCUUCCAAGCUGAUGGCGUGGGUUCGAUUCCCAUCACCCGCUCCA
rnacentral:tRNA from 1 species